ensembl:lincRNA
UCCCUACAAAAAAAAUCCCAAGAGCACCAGCAAGGUUGAAAUUUCUCCCCACCUGGCUACUCUUGGUCCUGGGGUGAUGGCUCUAGCUUGCGUACCUCUCCCCCCAUUCAUCCAUCCUUCUUCUGCAGCACAGGAUGGCUUCCCCUGCUCCAGCCUCUGCGCUAGCCGCCUCCUCCCUCCCUUGUUACACCACCGGGAGCUCCGUGUCUACAGUCCUCGUCCCUCCGGCUCACAGAGGAACCAGAAGGGGCGGUGGUGGGCUCAGGAAGGCAGGCAAGCUGCCUACCGAACCGGCCACGUGGGAUGCGACCCUCUGUGAGCAGAAACCCCUGCCGGGGCACGUGGACAGGGACCCGAGUGGAGUGAGGAGACGCCCUGUGGGAGGCAGGGCCACCUGUGGAUCCGAGAGUUUGCCACAGUGCUGCAGAGGAGAGCCCCUCGGCCGCCGAGCCACCGAUCCCAGGACUCAGGUCGGGCUCAACUACUUACGGGUCUUGUUGAUUUCAGGCGAUGUAGAUUUCCCGAGCCUCUUAGCAUCUCAUCCCAAAAGCCUUAUAUGAAUGUUGGAAAGAUAAAAUGAGACACUGUUGGUAGAGGGUCUAGCUGGAUCUAGUAGCUGCUCAAAUAGUGUCUAUUUGAGAGGCUGAUAGAACGCCUUUGGUCUUCUUAUUAAUUUGUUCUGUCCUUCCCUUCUUCCCGCCUUUCCCUUUCCUUCUCUCUCCUCGCUCCGAGUCACUGUCUGAUCAUAAAGACUUUGUAUUUCUCAUGCAUUUCCCUGAGCAGCAGCUGCUUUGCAGCUCUGUUUGUUUUCUUACCCAGGAAAUGUUUAUCAGAUGGUCACUCAACAGCAGGCCCCAUACUGGGCACUGGGGUGACACCCAUGAGAAAGCCAAGCAUGCUUCCUGCCCACAUAAAAAUUGACAGUCUGCUAAGGAAGGCUGAUAUUAACACGAGCCAUUUUAAUAAAGAACAAGAAGUAGCAUCCCUCAGCAUGAAGCCCUAAGUCUGGUCCAAGCAAUCAGAACAGGCUUCCCUGAGGAGGCGGCACAGAGGUCUGAAGUCUCGGGUACUCCCUCUAACCUGUGCGCGUUGUCCUCCAGCGGCAAGCCCUGGUUUCAUUAUCGUCAUCAGACUCACCACCUCUGCUUGUUUAUGUAUUCACACUCGCUUUACCUUCCAAAGGAUUCCUGGCACUUGCACGUAACUCCAUGAGGUAAAAAAAUACAAUAAGACAUUGAAACCAAGGAAAAAGUAAAACGCAGCUUCCAGGACCACGAGGAACUAUAUGUAAUGUAAAUUUAAUUCCGCACAUCUGAGCAGCCGAUGCAACAGGACCAAUCAGUUACAAAGUUCCCAUUGUCCUUCACACUUCAUUUUUCCAGAAAAUAAAGCUCUUAUGGGCUGGAUCCUCAUACGGUGGAGCCAGAGACACCACCAUCUCUAUCACUUCUAGAGCGAACUCAGUAACAGAAGUUGCAUGAAUGGUUCUCGAAUAGUCUCUAAAUGGAGACUCAGGGGCCGCUCAGAGGCCAGACAAUUCUAAGACCUGGAAAUAAUCUGAUUUAAUGGAGACCCAAAGGGUUCUCUAUCCGCUGACUCGAGAAUCAGCUGUUGGGCAAAUGCUGGGACCUCUUCCUUGGGGACUCUGGAUGGCAGGUGCACACGGGAUUUCAGUAUCUGUAGGCUUCAGAAGCUCUCCAGCAAUUUCUGAUUCACAGCCAAUAUUGAGAAACACGGAUCGCUACCAAGGACUCUCAAACUGUUCCUUGAAGCUCCAGGACCCUACAAGAAGCUCUGGGGCCUAUUCAGUGACCUCUGGAUUCCCUAUCCUGCCUAUUAGAAGAGCUGGCACUUGGGGCCAGGACAAACCUCAGCGGCCUGGACCCUCCCUUUAACCGUGGCCCAAUUGAGAACUCCCCAGGGAAGGAGAUGCACCGGGAAGGUGAGGUGGACACAAAGUGAUGAUGGCUUUCAUUAAUGUCCUUUCGUCCCAGGGCAGAAGGAAUAGACCAGCUGAGCCAGGCAGAACCUCUCAUUUUCAUAAGCUGACUCCUUAUACCACGGGUCUGUCCAGGCUGAGCCGACUCUGUCUUUUUCUUUCUCCAGGGCUGGAAUGUCAGAUCUCCCCACUGUGGAGGGAGGAGAUGUGCAUUCUCCACACACACUCAGCAGCUUCAGGGACCAGAGGGCAGGCAGCAAGAGGGAGGGUGUGAACCUGGCAUCCAUGCUGUGGGGUGUUCUGGGGGAGGAGGAGGCAAAGAGGCAGGGAAGCCCUAGCACUCCUUGUUGGAUGCCAGGAGAAGGGAUGCCCAAGCCGGGUGAGUGCCUCCUCCAGGAGGCACAUUCUUCAAACACAGUGACUUGACCAAGAGAGGAAUAGGAACAGAGAGAGACACUAAAUUCCUUAGCAUGGGGACAACAGCACUGUCCAGCUGGGCAGCUCUGCCUUCACUGGUCUUAUCCUAUCUGGGGUUGCUCCAGAGUUCCUGAAGAUCUCAUUUGUAAAAGGGGGUUUCCUCAGCUAACGUGAGAACUAAAACACAAAACAAGAGCAAAACCCCGCAAAUGCUGGAGCCAGUGAUUGAGACAAUGCACCACACACAGUUCGAAUGAGGCUUUUUCCCAGCCCAACUUUUCAUCAAAGUUGAUCAGCAGACGGUUUGAGCAUCUGUACUCUAACAGGGCAGGGCUCUGGGGUACAGAUAUUGUCUGUCGCUAAAUAAGCGUGAUUCAGAUGUUUUGUAUAGUCAACCAGGAAACAAAACAGAACAAAACCAUGUACUGUUUUAAGAAAAUCAAUCAACUAGAUGUGAGCCUUGGUAUUUAUGAUGGGUUGAAGUGUGUCUCCAAAAUGGAUAUAAUAUGUUCAAGUCCUAAGCCUAGUACCUUGGGAACAGGACCUUAUUGGAAAUAGGGUCUUUGCUGAUGUAAUUGAAAAUCAGGUCACCCUGGCAUAUAAUCCAAUGGCCAUCAGAGGCCAGUGCUCCAUAGGCCAGGUCUGAAUUUCUCCUAAGAGAUCCUCAUUGCUAUAGUCAUUGGGGCUAAAUAUCAAUAUUUUGCCUCUUUCUCCUUCUAGGAACUCGGUACAUUGUUUGACCCACCUAUGCGGUCUCGUCACUUGACUUGCUUUGAACAGCAAAUUGUGAGCAGAAGUGAUGUCUGUCAUUUUAGAGUAUCUGCCUGGUCAUGUUCUCUUUCCCUGCUGCUCAGAGGGUGUUCUGGAAGCCUGGCUUCUUGAUUGGGACAGUGACCACGUGGGGGCUGAGGCUCAGCUUGGCUACCGGUGUCCUUAAACUGAGGGAGACACAAACCCUCAUGUUUUUUAAGUGACUGAGGUUUCUAGGGUUGUUUGUCACAGCAGCAUGACUUAUCCCAUCCUGGCUAAAUAAUCCGGAUUGACCCUGGCAGGUGAACGUCCAAGGUCCCCAGACUUUAUAUGGUGGUUUGAGCACGGAGUUAUCAGACACUCACUAUAGUCCUAGAUUAAUCUUCAGUGAAAAUUAUGGUACCUCUGAUUUGUUGUUGUUGUUGUUGUUGGUAUGAAAGGAUGUUUAAUAAGAAAUUUUUGAACAUGGUUAUUAUAAUGGAUUAUUAAAAUCUAUAGAUUAUACAU